ACAAGCAGCGGAGCGUGUGGUUAAUUCGAUGCUACACGAAGAACUUACCAGGGUUUGACAUGCAAGUGGUAGGAAUCUGAAAGGGACCGACCUUCGGGAGCUUGCACAGGUGCUGCAUGGCUGUCGUCAGCUCGUGUCGUGAGAUGUUCGGUUAAGUCCGCUAACGAGCGCAACCCUCACUGUGUGUUAUAUGUGUCACACGGGACUGCCGGUUUUAAGCCGGAGGAAGGUGGGGAUGACGUCAAGUCAGCAUGGCCUUUAUAUCCUGGGCUACACACACGCUACAAUGGUCGGUACAAUAGGUUGCCAAGCCGCGAGGCGGAGCCAAUCCACAAAGCCGGCCUCAGUUCAGAUUGUAGGCUGCAACUCGCCUGCAUGAAGAUGGAGUUGCUAGUAACCGCAGGUCAGCAAUACUGCGGUGAAUACGUUCCCGGGUCUU
rnacentral:rRNA from 1 species